CAAAUUUCGACCGAGUAUAAAUCAAAUUACACGAGAUAUUUUUUCGGAUUAUAUGCCGUGUAAUCUUACGCGAUGUAACCAGAAAAAUUACUCGAUUAAAUCGGAGAUUACACGGAGUAUAAUCCAAAAAUAAUUUAGUAUAAUCUGGAGUAUAUUUGCUAUUUUCUGAAAUUUUUUUUCACCACAGAUAUCACUGAGUAUAAUAUGACAGGAUAUGCUGUUGAUCGGAAGAGCAGUCG